CACAUCUUCCCCGCUCAGCAUUGCCUCCGGGCUCCUCUGGCUUUUCUUCGUUCUCGUCAGUUGUCUGAGGACCCUGCCAAUAAUGAUGAACUUCACUUUAAGCCUUUAAGGAGACUUCGAAACAGGAACCGAUGAAACAAGCGUUGGAAAAUAAGCCGAACAGAGAGCACUUGCAGAACGCACAGCAUCGAGGCCAAGAUGACAUGCUGCAAUCAGUCUCAUUUGCGGCCGAUCCUGCUCAGAGCUGCAAUCACCAAAUCCCGAAAGGACCAGCAUUUGAAACCCUAAUCCCGUGCGAUCACGCAGAUCUCUGUGGUGUCCAAUUUGUAGCAGAUCCUCCACUGCGUUCGCCAACAUUUGAACCAAAGUGUGUAAAAG
rnacentral:lncRNA from 1 species